AGGACCCAGUGCUCCUCUGUUGAACUCAAACGCAGAACCUGUAUUGACUUCAACAGGAGCAAGCCCCAGCCCU
rnacentral:pre_miRNA from 1 species